rnacentral:rRNA from 1 species
UACGUAGGGUGCGAGCGUUAAUCGGAAUUACUGGGCGUAAAGCGUGCGCAGGCGGUUUUGUAAGCCAGGUGUGAAAUCCCCGGGCUCAACCUGGGAAUGGCAUUUGGGACUGCAAGGCUGGAGUGUGGCAGAGGAGACUGGAAUUCAUGGUGUAGCAGUGAAAUGCGUAGAGAUCAUGAGGAAGACCAGUGGCGAAGGCGGGUCUCUGGACAGUUCCUGACACUGAGGCACGAAGGCCAGGGGAGCAAACGGG